CCAUAUUCAAUGUUGAUGUAUUUACUAAGGAUCAUUCACCUAAUCAAGCAAAGAAACUCUAACUCCCAACAAGAACCUUAAAUAACUUAUACUUAAGAACCUUAAUUAUAAAGAAUUAAAGGUUGUUUAACAUAAAUAAAAGUUUAGAUUAAACUAAAUUUGUAAAAUACCAAGCCUUUAAGCAUUGGAUCAGUGCCUAUGAUUGCCGCUUCCAUGCGCUUUCACUCAACACUCGUGUUU
rnacentral:lncRNA from 1 species